CCUACGGGGGGCUGCAGUCGGGAAUAUUGGUCAAUGGGGGAAACCCUGAACCAGCAAUGCCGCGUGAGCGAAGAAGGCCUUCGGGUUGUAAAGCUCUGUUGUAAGGGACGAAAGAAUAAGGGAGUAACUGCCCUUAAAGUGACGGUACCUUACCAGCAAGCCCCGGCUAACUACGUGCCAGCAGCCGCGGUAAGACGUAGGGGGCGAGCGUUGUCCGGAAUUACUGGGCGUAAAGAGCACGUAGGCGGGUGGUUAAGUCAGGUGUGAAAGACCGCAGCCUAACUGCGGGGUUGCACUUGAAACUGAAUAUCUUGAGGGCAGGAGAGGUCAGUGGAAUUCCUGGUGUAGCGGUGAAAUGCGUAGAAAUCAGGAGGAACACCAGUGGCGAAGGCGACUGACUGGACUGACCCUGACGCUGAGGUGCGAAAGCGUGGGUAGCAAACAGGAUUAGAUACCCGAGUAGUC
rnacentral:rRNA from 1 species